AUGAACGCUAGCUACAGGCUUAACACAUGCAAGUCGAGGGGAAACGACAUCGAAAGCUUGCUUUUGAUGGGCGUCGACCGGCGCACGGGUGAGUAACGCGUAUCCAACCUGCCCACCACUUGGGGAUAACCUUGCGAAAGUAAGACUAAUACCCAAUGACGUCUCUAGAAGACAUCUGAAAGAGAUUAAAGAUUUAUCGGUGAUGGAUGGGGAUGCGUCUGAUUAGCUUGUUGGCGGGGUAACGGCCCACCAAGGCUACGAUCAGUAGGGGUUCUGAGAGGAAGGUCCCCCACAUUGGAACUGAGACACGGUCCAAACUCCUACGGGAGGCAGCAGUGAGGAAUAUUGGUCAAUGGACGAGAGUCUGAACCAGCCAAGUAGCGUGCAGGAUGACGGCCCUAUGGGUUGUAAACUGCUUUUAUAAGGGAAUAAAGUGAGUCUCGUGAGACUUUUUGCAUGUACCUUAUGAAUAAGGACCGGCUAAUUCCGUGCCAGCAGCCGCGGUAAUACGGAAGGUCCGGGCGUUAUCCGGAUUUAUUGGGUUUAAAGGGAGCGUAGGCCGGAGAUUAAGCGUGUUGUGAAAUGUAGAUGCUCAACAUCUGCACUGCAGCGCGAACUGGUUUCCUUGAGUACGCACAAAGUGGGCGGAAUUCGUGGUGUAGCGGUGAAAUGCUUAGAUAUCACGAAGAACUCCGAUUGCGAAGGCAGCUCACUGGAGCGCAACUGACGCUGAAGCUCGAAAGUGCGGGUAUCGAACAGGAUUAGAUACCCUGGUAGUCCAUGCCGUAAACGAUGAUUACUAGGUGUUGGAGGAUUGACCCCUUCAGUGCCGCAGUUAACACAAUAAGUAAUCCACCUGGGGAGUACGACCGCAAGGUUGAAACUCAAAGGAAUUGACGGGGGCCCGCACAAGCAGUGGAGUAUGUGGUUUAAUUCGACGCAACGCGAAGAACCUUACCAGGCCUUGACAUCCCUUGCAGAGGUAUAGAGAUAUAUCCGAGGUUAUCAAGGAGACAGGUGGUGCAUGGUUGUCGUCAGCUCGUGCCGUGAGGUGUCGGCUUAAGUGCCAUAACGAGCGCAACCCCUCUCCUUAGUUGCCAUCAGGUUAAGCUGGGCACUCUGGGGACACUGCCACCGUAAGGUGUGAGGAAGGUGGGGAUGACGUCAAAUCAGCACGGCCCUUACGUCCGGGGCUACACACGUGUUACAAUGGCAGGUACAGAGAGAUGGUGUUCUGCAAAGCGCAUCUAAUCCUUAAAGCCUGUCUCAGUUCGGACUGGGGUCUGCAACCCGACCCCACGAAGCUGGAUUCGCUAGUAAUCGCGCAUCAGCCAUGGCGCGGUGAAUACGUUCCCGGGCCUUGUACACACCGCCCGUCAAGCCAUGAAAGCCGGGGGCGCCUAAAGUCCGUGACCGUAAGGAGCGGCCUAGGGCGAAACUGGUAAUUGGGGCU
rnacentral:rRNA from 1 species